AGGGCUGCAAAACCUAGAGCCCCAAGGUCCUUUAAAUAGUGUCAAACGCGUUCCAAGUGAAAUCUCGCCCAAGCGUCGCAGGGAGCUCGGUCGGGUGAGAAUUAGCAGUAAUGUAGGGCUUGGGCGUCAAAUUUGGACACCCAAGCUACGAGCGUCCACUGCCCGAGCAUCGGGAGCCACUGCCCGGGCGACGAGCGUCGAUUCUGGAUGCUUUCUCCGCGCUCCUGGUUGCUCGGGCUUCGCGUGUUCCCUCCUUCUAGUGCCUUUUUAGCCUCCUUUGAGCUCCAUCUUCUUGGCUUUUCACUUCUUCUUCUAGUAUUAGCUCAAUCUCUGUCA
rnacentral:lncRNA from 1 species